CGAGCCCUCAUUUACAUAUCCAACAAAGAUCAUUUUUGCCAUUUUUAUCAACUAUGUGGCUGCUGGAGAGCUAUGGGAACGGGUAAAAAGGGGAAAAUGUGAUGACAGACUCCCUUUAAGGUUUUAAUUUUUUUUAAAUUUACAAAUAAAUUAUUUCAUUUGUAUGUACCUGAAGAGUACAUAGUUGUUGGUACUGCACCUCAUCUGUGGAACGUGUACAGCUCCUCGAAGCUUCUACACCACUAAAUGCGGUUUAAAGAAGGCUUCCUAAUUUAGUAAAUGCAUAUUUCCCCUUUAAAAAAAAUGUAAAAAAUCUUUAACACACAUAGUGGUUAAGGGGGUUGACCAGGAUUAGAAAAACAUAGCUUGGGCCUAUUUCACGCAUCAGUGAAUCAAGUACCUAUGCUGUCUGUGGUCUCCAUGGACUUUUAUGUUUGUAUUCACACAUCAGUGGUUUUCCAUGGACCGUGAGUCAGUGGUGACACCAUGGAAGCAUGUCCUAUUUUGUCCUUGAUUACGGAUCCCUCACGCAUGAUGUCCCUGAAAAGCACAGACACCAUCCAUGUUUGGUCCAUUGUUUCACAAAUUGUUGCUAGGAGAUGCUCUGGAAACUAAUUUUCAGCCUAGCAGUGUCCAUAGACUACAGAUGACACACAUUCCAAACACAGCUCCUUCAUGGACAUCUUCAUGGAUGAACCACUGAUCAUCUUGUCAACACCUUGGAUUGUGUCUGGUAUUACAUCUCCACCCAAUAAAGUGUCUGAUGUUGAGCUGUAAUGCCUAACAUAGCCUGUGGACAGGUGCUGGUUUUGGAAGACAGCAGCCAUGUUUCUCUAAUCUAAGCAAGACCUGAAUUAUACAGCCCCUCAGAAGACAAUACAUUUUUGUGUGCAGUGUCCAUAAUUAGGAGUUUUCUUCUGUGCACACCAUCGCCCCCUGCUGAACCCAUUUAAAAUAUAUACAAUAAAUGUUUGAGUUGACUCGCACUCAAAUGUUAAAACUGCCCCCAUAAAAAAAAUUGUGUGGCUGGCUACACAGUUGAGACUCCAACAAAAAGGUGUCU